UCAUGAGCGACACAAGCCCUGUGUCAAAGGGCUUUAUUGGUUUUCCGUGUAAACCAAGGAAUAUCAGCCUCUUUUUCUCUCUCUUUUACUUUCUUAUCAUUGAGUCCAGACCACCAGGUUCUGGUCUAUUAAAGGACCUCAACAAGUGGUGCCCAAACAGGAGCCUGGUACACGUGACAGAUUCGGACAGAGUGACCUCAACGGCCUACUGGGGCCGUAUGAUUUAAGGAUCUGGUUAUAUUAUCCCAAAUUAACUGGAAUCAUCACUGUCCAGUGAAAUAUCUACAGCAAUUACCCAGCAAGUUUGAACUGGAGAGGGUAAGUGCAUUAGGGGCCCAGGGUUUGACAGGUGGCACUAGUGGUAAAGAAUCUGCCAAGAGACUCAGAUUCAAUCCCUGGGUUGGAAAGAUCUCCUGGAGGAGGAAAUGAC